GAGGAUGGAAGGGAAGGCAAGGAGGAACUAUGUGCUGGGAAAACUAUAAACAGGAUUCGGCUGCUGCCCCAAGAAGGCCUUGCUGCUGCUGAGGCAAAGCAGCACUUUUGGGAUGAUGCUUUUAGGAACUAGGAACAGACAAAAUGCAAUCCAGAGAAGCACUUCCCCUUUAGACAAAUCCUGACAUGCAGGCAUCCUGGAGACCAGCCCUACCUCUGCUAAUUCUAUGCCUCCAGGGCUCACAAAGAAGACUGCAUGACACAGACUCUCAGCAAGCAUCUGUGAAUGAACAUCUCAGAAGCACUAUUGGAGAGGGACAGCUGUCUGGUGUCCACAAGCCAUUCUCUUACUUCCAACUCUUCACACCAGAAAGGCUCUCCAGGGCACGGAGUAUUUGAUACUGCCACCUACAUAAACGUGAAGUCAGAUGAAUAAAUUCUUGAUUAGGCAAGAGGGAAAAACCA
rnacentral:lncRNA from 1 species